rnacentral:tRNA from 1 species
ACACGGGUAGCUCAGUGGUAGAGUGCAUGCUUUGUGUGUAUGAUGUUCUGGGUUCAAAUCCCGGUUGCUGUU